UGGAGAGCGAGCAUCACUGGUGUGGGUCUUGGGCUUCAAACCCAAUGGGUGUUUAGGUGUUCUAGGCACCGCAAAGUUCGAUUCUUUGGCUCUCUU
rfam:Helicobacter bizzozeronii CCTG 35545, WGS project CAGP01000000 data, contig: tsc_c4